GAGAUGGCCAAUGACGGUCUGACCCGUUGGGCCGGGCCAGGUCGCGGACAACGUCGACCGUUUGUUUAAGAAGCGUGGACUCUUGUCCUGAGUGCACCGAGGCUUUCAGCCUGCGGGACAGUGGUGCGAUUUGCAUUAGAGGUAAUAUGCUAGGGCGGCUGCUGCAGGGUGGGAGAGGAAAUGCGCGUGGAGACUGGGCGCGUGCAAUGGUGGGAGAGGUGUGUGGCAGGGGUGCGGGGAGUGGGGGUGAAGAGAAGAGGACCCAUCGUAGAGUGUUUAGGAGAUGGAAGGUGAAGGUCUCUGCCCCCGAUUGUGGAUGUUCAGAAGGAGAAAGCAUCAUGACUCCCAGCCUUGGCCACCUGGCAGCUUACCUGAGAUGGAGAAGAGAUAGGGUGAGUUCAGUUCUGGGCAUAUUUAGUUGGAGGUGCCUGAAGGGCCUUUAGUGCAGGUGUCCAGGAGUCAAUGCAAUGCGCUGACAUCUGCGAGAGGCCCGGCUUUAUUAGAGAUAUGGGAGUUCUCUGCUUCCAGCUGCCCUGGAGCUGCGGGGAGUGAGCCAGGGUCGCAUCUUCACAGCGUGAAUGGCAAGGACAGCCUCGGUUUCCCCUCUUCUGCGCUAUCACCAACUAAAUAUUUGAAAAGGUUAAUACUGAGGUCUAUUUCUUAUCUUUCUUUUUUAUGUACUUAUUGUUUCCUUUAAACUUUCGAUAUAAAUGUUUGGAAGAGUAGUGUAAACAAAUUGACAACUUGAAAGACCUUUUUGGAAGAUGUGAAGGGCAGCCAGGCUGUGAAGAAGACCUGGAUGGGGAAUUAGGGAGCUCAAGAUCUAAACCCAGUUUCACUCAUUAUUCUUUGAGCUUCAGUUUACUCCAAGGUGAAAUGGGAUACAUCAUAAAUGUUCCUGGCGGGGUCCGGUGGCUCACGCCUGUAAUCCCAGCACUUUGGGAGGCUGAGGCAGGAGAUCACUUGAACCUAGGAGUUCGAGACCAGCCUGAGCAGCAUGGCGAGACUCCGUCUCUACUAAAAAUUCAAAAAUUAGCCGGGCAUGGUGGCGCGGGGCUGUAAUCCCAGCUACUUGGGGGGGCUGAGGUGGGAGGAUCGCUUCAACCCGGGAGGCAGAGGCAGCAGUGAACCGUGAUCGCGCCACUGCACUCCAGCCUGGGCUGCAGAGCAAGAUCCUGUCUCAAAAAGUAAUAAAAAUAAACAAACAAACAAAUAAAUGUUCCCUAUGCCCUUGUGAAGAGAGAGGGAAGUAACGCAUGUAAAUACUCUUAGGACCCAUAAAAGAAAAGACUAGUAAAUUAAUCCCAUUAAAAAAUUAAGCACAUCAAAAUUUCAUAAAAAGUUAGAUAAUAUGAGAAAAAAAUCGGGACACACUUUAACACAUAAGUUUUCUUAUCGAACCAAGGGCUCAUACAAAUCAUUAAGCAAUUUUCAGACAACCCCAUAAACAAAAA
rnacentral:lncRNA from 1 species